AUUUUAUAGACACUGGUUUGUAGGUGCAGCUGACUUCAGGGAAAGAGAAGAGAACGUAACAAACUACAUCCUACGGCUCCAGGUCUCCAUCUAGUGGUCUGAUAGAAGAACAUCAGCUGAUGGGAAUAUAAAACAGAAGAUCUAAUCAGUAGAUCUUUGAUGUGCUUCCUCCAAAAAAAGAAAAAAACAUGUGUGACCUGAAUUGCAGGUGAAUUUAGCAGCAUGGAUGGUCAUGAGGACGGAGAAGAGGGAGUCCCUCCCUCACAAACACCUCCGUGUGAGAAAGACGAGAACCACAGCCAAGCUCAGAAGACCGAACCAGAACCAGAACAUGAUCCCAGCUGUGUUUCCUUGAAGAGCAACAGGUCAAGAGAAAUUUUGGCUGUAUUUAAUGACCGGCCUCCUGCUGCAGAGAGGUGGGUUGUUUCUAAUAGGCCUGUAGUGAUGAUUCAAUGAGU